AUAUUGGCUCGAAGCUAUUCUCGGCGAUGCCGCGUAUGUACGCGGUUUGCGAUUCACCGUUAGCGCAGGAGCGAGAGACGAUGAAAUACAGGAAGAAAAGGGCGUGAAUCGCGCGGGGGCACACAGGAACUUUCUCCCCACCCCCCCUCUGUCUCUCUCACUCUCUUCGCUGUCACCUCGCCGUUCCUUCCAAAUGGACUUCCAUCGUACGAACGAUGCUCGUCAUGGACGGAGCCAGGAAACCAAACAGGUCGAGUACGCAUGCGUAUGCACGCGGGGCGAGACGUCCGGGGCCAAAGGACUCGGAAGUUACGACAUCCGGCGCACAAAUCCGCUUCCUGUCGCUCAUGACCUUUGAUCUCCGUCUGUCCCACUACUUCUGAUGGCACCUCGUUCGCAAUGUAAUUCCAAACGACAAGGCGCUGUAGUGAAUCUAAUCGAUUGGUGCAUGGAAAAGGAAAAACAGAAUUAUGAUAAUUUAUAGGCAGUAACAUAGGAUCGCGUCUUGAAAUUAUUAUUCUACUUUUAAUAACAGCAUCUGACCAAAUGGAUAACGGAAUACAUAUGUAAAACGAUUGAAGGGGUUAUUCUUUGUGAUCCCGAAAGCCGAGGCUUUUCACGCUCGGAGCGGAGAGACUUUCCACGCGCCACGUCGCUCCGGUUUCAAAGGCGUCGACAAUAGAUGGAUUGAUUCCUUUGGAUCGUCGGGAGAAAAGCUCUCGGCGAAAGGACAGUCUGCUGGAUCCCUUAUUUACCGUUCGCCGGCCCAAUAUCCUGGGCACGUCACGUGCGCGUGGAGCCGAGAGUGCGUACAUAUGUACAUCGACGUCGUCGAACGCCGUCGUCGGGGUCGUUGAACGAUCAGGGGGGUAUUCACGGCGAGGACGACACUAACGACCGCGCUCGAGCGCACCAACCCACUUGUGUCGACCCUGGACGCGAGUCACGUGCGUACGUAUACAUACAGAGCCGACAAUAAUACGAUCCGGAGGGUGUGACCCGUUCCACAUGUCUGACUCUCUUUCUCUUUCUCUCUGUCUCUUACUCUCUUCGCGCUCAUCUAUCUCUGUUUUUCUUCGUGAUUGUUCAGACUUGGAUCAUUUU